UGGGGAAUAUUGCACAAUGGGCGAAAGCCUGAUGCAGCAACGCCGCGUGCGGGAUGACGGCCUUCGGGUUGUAAACCGCUUUCAGCAGGGACGAAGGUUUUCUGACGGUACCUGCAGAAGAAGCACCGGCUAACUACGUGCCAGCAGCCGCGGUGAUACGUAGGGUGCGAGCGUUGUCCGGAAUUAUUGGGCGUAAAGAGCUUGUAGGCGGUCCGUUGCGUCGGAAGUGAAAACUCAGGGCUUAACCCUGAGCCUGCUUUCGAUACGGGCGGACUUGAGGGAUGUAGGGGAGAACGGAAUUCCUGGUGGAGCGGUGGAAUGCGCAGAUAUCAGGAGGAACACCAGUGGCGAAGGCGGUUCUCUGGACAUUUCCUGACGCUGAGAAGCGAAAGCGUGGGGAGCAAAACAGGCUUAGAUACCCUGGUAGUCCACGCCGUAAACGGUGGCACUAGGUGUGGGACCCAUUCCACGGGUUCCGUGCCGUAGCUAACGCAUUAAGUG
rnacentral:rRNA from 1 species